rnacentral:ncRNA from 1 species
AAUCGAAUAAUCGAAACAGGUGCCGAUUAUGUUUGGCCAAACUAGGCAUGAAUCGGUUAAAAGGGAAGCGGGUGUAAAUCCCGCGCGGUCCCGCCGCUGUGAAAGAAGAGUCCUUGCAAGAUGCCACUGGGAAACCGGGAAGGUUGCAAGGGCGAUGACGCUUGAGCCAGAAGACCUGCCUGUUUUGUUGCACCAAUC